UCGGGUGUGGCCAAGCGGUAAGGCGACGGUCUUUGGAUCCGUUAUUCCCAGGUUCGAAUCCUGGCACCCGAGCCA
rnacentral:tRNA from 3 species